GUGCCAGCCGCCGCGGUAAUACGGAGGGUGCAAGCGUUAUCCGGAUUUAUUGGGUUUAAAGGGUCCGUAGGCGGACUCGUAAGUCAGUGGUGAAAUCUCAUAGCUUAACUAUGAAACUGCCAUUGAUACUGCGGGUCUUGAGUAAAGUAGAAGUGGCUGGAAUAAGUAGUGUAGCGGUGAAAUGCAUAGAUAUUACUUAGAACACCAAUUGCGAAGGCAGGUCACUAUGUUUUAACUGACGCUGAUGGACGAAAGCGUGGGGAGCGAACAGGAUUAGAUACCCCUGUAGUCC
rnacentral:rRNA from 1 species